GCCUUCUUGGCUGAGUUGGUUAGAAUGCAGGUCUUGAGGUCACAAGUUCGAGCCUUGUAGAGGGCA